rnacentral:ncRNA from 1 species
GGUGAACUUGGUUUUGAUUUAAAGUGUAUAAUGUGAAUAAAGGUUAAUACAUGGUAUUUAUAUAGUUAGGUAAGGAGUGGAGUUGAUGGUUAUAAUUAUUUUGUGUAAUACAGAAUGAGUUAUGUUGAUUCUUGAUAUUAUAGUAGUAGAUGAUGUAUAAGAUUUUUACUAACACCAGUAUGUAGUUUUGGUUAAUGGAUGAAAAUUUGAACCAGGUUAGUUUGUUAAGGGUUGGUAAAUUUAGUGCCAGCAUCCGCGGUUAAACUAAAGACUCUAGUUAUAUAAGUGAUGGUAGAAAAGGUAGAUAGACGUGAUUAGGUAUUUUAAGGUUUAUUGUUUAGAUGUAAAAUGUGUAAAUGAUGGUUUAUUUUAGUUGGAGUAUAUGUGGGUUGAGUUUACGAUAUUUGAAGUUGAAACUAGGAUUAGAUACCCUAUUAUUUUUAGAUUUAAAUUAGUGUAAGGCUUACCUGGGGACUACGAAUAAUUUUGAAUUUAAAACUCAAAAAACUUGGCGGUAUUUUAGACCACUUAGGGGAACCUGUCUCGUAAUCGAUAGUCCGCGUUUUACCUGGCCUUAUAUUUUGUGGUAUGUAUACCGUCAUCGUCAGGUAACUUUUGAGAAUUAGUGAAGUUAGCGAUUAUAAAUUAAAAUUUAUUAAGACGUUAGAUCAAGGUGCAGCUUAUAUUGGGGUGAGGAUGGGUUACAAUUAAGAAGUUGUAAUAUGGAAUAGGAGAUGAGAGUUUCUUAAGAAGGAGGACUUAAAAGUAAGGAUUAAUGAAGUAGUGUUGUUCUGAAUUAAGAGGCUCUGGAGUGUGCACACAUCGCCCGUCGCUCUCGUUGAAAAAUGAGAUAAGUCGUAACAUAGUAAGGGUAACGGAAGUUGUUCUUAGAGAGGU